UGGGGGAUAUUGCACAAUGGGCGAAAGCCUGAUGCAGCGACGCCGCGUGAGGGAAGACGGUUUUCGGAUUGUAAACCUCUGUCUUCGGGGACGAAAAUGACGGUACCCGAGGAGGAAGCCACGGCUAACUACGUGCCAGCAGCCGCGGUAAUACGUAGGUGGCAAGCGUUGUCCGGAAUUACUGGGUGUAAAGGGAGAGUAGGCGGGAUUGCAAGUCCGUUGUUAAAUCUAUCGGCUUAACCGGUAGCUGCGGCGGAAACUGUAGUUCUUGAGUGAAGUAGAGGCAGGCGGAAUUCCUAGUGUAGCGGUGAAAUGCGUAGAUAUUAGGAGGAACACCAGUGGC
rnacentral:rRNA from 1 species